UUUAAUUCUAGUGAUAUAUUUAUUUAGAAAUUAUAAAUUUACUUAUAAAUAAUAAAUUUCAAUACUGUCCAUAAACAUUUAUUGUACUUUGGAAUAACCAUUUUCUUGGAAGAAUUAUCUAAACUAAUUUAAAUUCCAAUAUUUUAUAGAGACUCUUGACUAAAUUACAGGAAAGAUACUAGAAAAGUAAUUUAAAGGGAAGUAGAGAGAAGCGACAACCAGGAUCUAUAAUGAAAUUGAAGAAAAAGAAUGAGUGAUGUAAAAGAAAUAUGACAAACAUUAUUUAUGAAGAAUGAUAGCGCUUCAAACUCGAAUCUUCAAAAUAUCAUAAUGGAAUUUUCAAUAUUAAUUAUUAAGAUCAAUCAAUAUUAAUUUUGAACUUUAUAUCAUUAAAGUUCAAGUUUAAUACAAAUUUUUUGUGAGUUUUUUUGUCUUGAAUCACUUAUGAUGUUAACAAAAAUACUUCAUGA